rnacentral:rRNA from 1 species
UCCCAGCGGUCCAAGUCGCAGCCACAUUUGUUGGGUCUAAAACAUCCGUAGCUUGCUUUACAAGUCUUGUGUGAAAUCGGGCAUCUUAAGUGUCCGGCGUGCACAAGAUACUGUUUAGCUAGAGACCGGGAGGCGCAGGAAGUACGUACGGGGUAGCGGUUAAAUGUGUUGAUCCCAUGCGGACUAACAGUCGCGAAGGCGUCCUGCGAGAACGGUUCUGACAGUGAGGGAUGAAGGCUAGGGGCGCAAAGUG